rnacentral:misc_RNA from 1 species
GACUGAGAAUGAAACUAAUGCCUCUGAUGGUGAGUCUGAUAUUUUUUUCAAUCUCAUGAGCGAAAAUCCACAACAGGACUCUUUCAGUAGUGAACUUUAUGAUGGAUCAACUUUCAAAGACUCGGAUGAUGUUAGAGAUGCAGCUUCUAGUAGGGCUGGAUGGAAUGAUGACCAUCAUAGUAGCAUUAAUGAAACGAGUCUCAGCUCUGCUCUU